UUGAACUCCUGAGCUCAGGCGAUCUGCCUGCCUCGGCCUCCCAAAGUGCUGGGAUUAUAGGAGUGAAUCACCGUACCCGGCCUCAUUACUAUGUUUUCUAAAGUUGUUUCAUUCCUACCUUUCUCCUCGAAGCCCCUCAGCUUCAAAUAUUCAACAAACCAUGAUUCUGACCUCUAUGCUUUCUUUAUUCUCUUCGUAGCUCUGUGAGAGCAAAAAACUUACCUGUCCCCAGUGGGUAAAACAGUGUUGCACACAGUUUAGACAUUGUCUUUAUCAUCUCUAAGCUGAUAAUUCUCAUAUCCAAGUCUUUAGUUCUAUGCUCUUGUCCAUAGUUUACUGUUGUUCUUUCAAGAAAAAAUGGUGUCCCAUGAAAAAAGCAGUGUACUGCAGCACAGAAUUCAAUCUCUAGGAAGGUUAUUCUUGAGAUAACCAAUGUAUAUACUUUGGUGUGCAGAAGUGCUUAUAUGUGCUUUCCAUUGUAUCAUACAGAGUACUAAAAAGAUGUGCACUCAAGGAUCAAGACUAAAUAAAAUUAAUAACUGUGACUGCUUCUUCAAGGACGUUCUUCAGUGAAUUUUAAGAAAAACUGGCUUUUUAAACUGUUGAGUACAUAGUGAUGAACAAUGACUGCUAAUACAGCUGGUGCCAUGGCUUUGAUUCAUGCCAAGGUCUGGGGAACUGGAAGCUAUCAAAGCCAUUCUGACACCUCGUUGGAAUCUAUCACUUGAGGGAGGAACAGUAGCCAUAAGCUCAGUGAAAAGGAGUUUGUGAAUAAUUCCCCUGAAAAGUUUCUCUCUCAAUUUGAGCAGUCAUAGAUGCAUUGCUUCUUUUUGAACCUGUGUCUUAUUCUAAUUGAGUUAUAAAGAAACAACAAUGAACUGUGGAACUGAACAGUCCACUCUGUGACAAGUUCCUCUGUACAGGGAACAGAUUGACCCCAAACAUCUGACAUAACCUACGUAAGUGACAGUGUUGGCUUAGAAUAAAGAAACAAAGACUAUCAUGGCAUUUUUUUAAUAAAGCAAGUGUUACAGUGACCUGUUUUGGGGACUGCCAGAGAUUAGGUGGCAGUUGCCUUCUAGAUCUAGCCACAGGAGAAAAAAUUAAAGAGCCAUAUGACUGUGAGGCAGAUCCUCAUCAGGGAGGAGGCGCAGUGUCUUUUUAACCACUUUGAAGACCAACAGCCAAGACAUCUUGAGCUAGUUGUGGUGGACAGAGAGUUCCAAACACCUCAGCCACCAGGAAAAGGGAGUGGCCAGGAAGAGGCUGCAGGCUCAAGGGCUGGGAUUCUCCCACCCACCUAAGGAACCUACUGAGCAUCGAACCACUCCAACUUGCCUUGGGAGGAGGACUUGAAUGCUACCAAAGACUGCUCGACAGGCCUGCAAGGCAGGACUACUUUUGUGAGAAUUUGAAGACCAUGCCGACCUGUCAUUUAAAGCACCCAUCUCUGCCUGAGCUGUCAGAUUUGCCAAGUUCUGGGUUGUCUCAUAAUUAUUUACUCAGUACAAAAUAAUACCAGCCAUGAUCCUCAGUGGUAAGUAGCAGAAAUCAACUGUAUUUGUUUGCUAAGGCUGUGCUAAUAAAGUGCUGUAAACCAUGUG
rnacentral:lncRNA from 1 species